rnacentral:rRNA from 1 species
CAGUCGCCACGGUAAUACGUAGGGUGCGAGCGUUAAUCGGAAUUACUGGGCGUAAAGCGUGCGUAGGCGGUGAGUUAAGUCUGCUGUGAAAUCCCCGGGCUCAACCUGGGAAUGGCAGUGGAUACUGGCUCGCUAGAGUGUGUCAGAGGAUGGUGGAAUUCCCGGAGUAGCGGUGGAAUGCGCAGAUACCGGGAGGAACGCCGAUGGCGAAGGCAGCCACCUGGUCCACUUCUGACGCUGAGGCGCGAAAGCGUGGGGAGCAAACCGGAUUAGAUACCCCCGUAGUCCCUGUCUCUUAUAA